rnacentral:rRNA from 1 species
GACAAUCGGUUAGCUUUCUAUGCAGUCGAGCGGGCCCUUCGGGGUCAGCGGCAGACGGGUGAGUAACGCGUGGGAACGUACCAUUUGCUACGGAAUAACUCAGGGAAACUUGUGCUAAUACCGUAUGAGCCCCCCUUUAAAAUUUCAUGAAUCAUAAAAUGCCCUGGCAUUUUAUGGGGGGGAAAGAUUUAUCGGCAAAUGAUCGGCCCGCGUUGGAUUAGCUAGUUGGUGGGGUAAAGGCCUACCAAGGCGACAAUCCAUAGCUGGUCUGAGAGGAUGAUCAGCCACACUGGGACUGAGACACGGCCCAGACUCCUACGGGAGGCAGCAGUGGGGAAUAUUGGACAAUGGGCGCAAGCCUGAUCCAGCCAUGCCGCGUGAGUGAUGAAGGCCCUAGGGUUGUAAAGCUCUUUCACCGGUGAAGAUAAUGACGGUAACCGGAGAAGAAGCCCCGGCUAACUUCAUGCCAGCAGCCGCGGUAAUACGAAGGGGGCUAGCGUUGUUCGGAUUUACUGGGCGUAAAGCGCACGUAGGCGGGCUAAUAAGUCAGGGGUGAAAUCCCGGGGCUCAACCCCGGAACUGCCUUUGAUACUGUUAGUCUUGAGUAUGGUAGAGGUGAGUGGAAUUCCGAGUGUAGAGGUGAAAUUCCUAGAUAUUCGGAGGAACACCAGUGGCGAAGGCAGCUCACUGGACCAUUACUGACGCUGAGGUGCGAAAGCGUGGGGAGCAGACAGGAUUAGAUACCCUGGUAGUCCACUCCGUAAACGAUGAAUGUUAGCCGUUGGGGAGUUUACUCUUCGGUGGCGCAGCUAACGCAUUAAACAUUCCGCCUGGGGAGUACGGUCGCAAGAUUAGAACUCAAAUGAAUUGACGGGGGCCCGCACAAGCAGUGGAGCAUGUGGUUUAAUUCGGAGCGACGCGCAGAACCUUUUCAGCCCUUGACAUCCCGAUCGCGGUUAGUGGAGACACUAUCCUUCACUUCGGCUGGAUCGUAGACAGGUGCUGCAUGACUGUCGUCAGCUCGUGUCUUGAGAUGUUGGGUUAAGUUCCGCAAUCUAGCGCAACUCUCCGCCUUUAAUUGCCAGCAUUCAGUUGGGCACUCUAAAGGGACUGCUGGCGAUUAGCGGAAGGGCAUGGUGGGAAUGUACGUCAGUUCCUCAUGGCCCGUACGGCUGGGCUACUAAUGGGCUUACAUUGAUGGUGACGUGGCAGGAAGGCACCCAGGUGGGACCAAGUCCUCAAAGUCAUAUUCCGUUCGAAAUGGCACUCUGCACUUCCCAGGCUUGAGUUGCCAUGCCUGGUAAAUACGGCAUACAGUUGCCAGAGGGUACUUA